rnacentral:sRNA from 1 species
UUGACAGCCCCGGUGAGGCUGAAGUCAUCGCUUUAUUCACACGCAGUAGCUGUGAAAGUUUUCCCUCAUGCUGUGUCCUGCCAACGUGCCUCAACUCUGACAUAAAGGGACCACCUGGAGGGGUGAGAGGGGAGUGCUCUCUCAACUGGGUUUCUGUUUAAUCCAUGGCCCCU